GGAUUUAUCGAAUCCAGAAGAUUACAGUUUUACGAUUACGUCCAACGAUGAUAUCAUUGUCCUCAAGAAUGAAACCGACGUGUAUUCGGCGGGAGCCAGUUGAAACGUCGACAAUCAAAAUGUCGACGGUUGAAACAUCGAUAAGUACAAAAUGUCGACGGAUCAUUAUAUCGACAAGUAAACAAUGUUGACAGGUCAAUAUAUCGACAAAUUAAAUUAAUUAAAAUUAUUAUUAUUUUAAUUUAUUUAAAUAAAUAUGAAUUAUAAAAAUCAAAUAAAGUAUAAAAUACGAAAUACGAAUUAUAUAAAUAAAAUAAAUAUUCUUGGGUAUAGAUAUAAAUAAAAAUAAAAUGUAGGAAACAUGAAAUAAAAUAAAAUUAUAAUGCCACAUACUUUGUCCCAAAUGAAAGAGACAUAAUCGACUUUGACUAUUUGUGAACUCUUGUUUAACUGCACUAAUAGCCGCUUGUUCAAAAUCGGUUAAAAUAUAAUCCGGCUGUAAAACUAUAUUAUUUUCCGAUGCAUAGUCUUGUAAAUCUUGAAACAUACGAAUAUAACAUUGUUUAGACUUACUACUUAAGAGAGCAAAAACCAGAGGUAAAAUUCGCGAAUUUGUACAAUGUCCAACUGGAGCAUGAAUUGAAUAUAACUGAUGGAAUAUUGUUGGUACUGUUUUAAACGUAGGCUCUGCGAGGUAGGUACAUAAAUAAUCGUACACGCGCGUUGUCGAAAUGAUCGAAAUGAUUUGAUUUGACCACACCAUCACAUAAGAAAUAUCUACUAUUUAUUUUAUCCUUAUCUUUGUAUACUAAAUAUAAAAGAAUACCGUUCAUUUUAUCUCAACGUUAAAUAAUAAAAUUUAAUUUUUUUUUUCGAAAUGUUGUACCUGUCUACAUUGUAAUUUGUCGAAAUUUUGUACCUGUUGUUAUAAUGACCCGUCGACAUUUUGUACUUGUCGAUGUUUCAACCGUCGACAUUUUAACUUGUCGAUAUUUUGAUUGUCGACGUUUCGUACCAGACCCGUAUUCGGCUUUUAUCGAUUUCUGUUCGUCCGAAAGUGAAGUGUUCAAUAACCGCAAUCGUACGAAACUGGAAAGUCGAACUUUGGAUCCGAUAUAUUACGUCUGCAAUAAGUUUCAUAAAACCAGGACCGCCUUGGACUGGUAUUGGGACACGAAACCCGAGGAGACAACGAUGGUAGCAACAACAAUUGAUGACCGGCAUCUAAAUAAAAAAUCCGCUAAAAUUUAAAACUGACAACGGAAUCGACAAACAAGAAGACUGACGACGAGGUUCGUGGGACGGACGAACCAAUUGUAAAAAAGCCGAACGGUGGCAAGUAUUCGAGAUACGUUUUGGAACCCGAUGAACUGUAUAAUAAUAUGAUGGUUGAAGACAAAAAAUAUUUGAACCCUAUAUGGACCCUAUAUGUUUGUGCUCGUUGUGCAAUAAACGACGAGUCCCUAGUUUUUACGAUGGUCGUGAAAGCAGACACGUGUCAUUCAAAUACACUAACACCUCUGUACCGCCGUGCUUAAAAUGUGCGAUUCGUAGUACACACCACGCUCAAGUUUAAAUCCGAAGACAUCGAAAAUAUAAGUAAUAAAG